rnacentral:rRNA from 1 species
GAUGAACGCUGGCGGCGUGCCUAAUACAUGCCAGUAGAACGCUGAAGGAGGAGCUUGCUCUUCUGGAUGAGUUGCGAACGGGUGAGUAACGCGUAGGUAACCUGCCUGGUAGCGGGGGAUGACUAUUGGAAACGAUAGCUAAUACCGCAUGACAACAGUUAUUGCAUGAUAACUGUUUAAAAGGGGCAACUGCUCCACUACCAGAUGGACCUGCGUUGUAUUAGCUAGUUGGUGAGGUAACGGCCCACAAAGGCGACGAUACAUAGCCGACCUGAGAGGGUGAUCGGCCACACUGGGACUGAGACACGGCCCAGACUCCUACGGGAGGCAGCAGUAGGGAAUCUUAGGCAAUGGACGGAAGUCUGACCGAGCAACGCCGCGUGAGUGAAGAAGGUUUUCGGAUCGUAAAGCUCUGUUGUAAGAGAAGAACGAGUGUGAGAGUGGAAAGUUCACACUGUGACGGUAUCUUAACAGAAAGGGACGGCUAACUACGUG